AUGCUGAAGGCAGAGAUGGAGCUGGCAGAACAGCAUCUAGUUCUGGUUACCCUCUUUGUUUCCCUCCACCCUCUGGCUCUCACCAUAAUUGAAGACAACUGCUCUGGCCACUCAGCUCAGCAUCUGCAAGAUGAAGUUAUACAUCUCAGAAUUAAGGUCUCCAGACAUGGCACCCAGUUGCCAGCACAUUUCUUACUCUCUGGGACUGUUUGUAGCCACUGUGGUGGAGCAGGGGCUGGAGCUCAGAUGGAAGAAGAGAGCCCCAAAGGAGGGUUUAAUCCUAGUCAGCUCUCUGUACUGCGCAGACAAAUCUUCGGCCUAAUGAAAGACUACAAAACUGGAGCAGAAUUUAUUAGACACUGGCUACGUUUUAAAAAGAUCAAAAUAAUAUAGGCACAUCGCUGCUUGAUUUUUGGCUCUCUGGUAGCUAAUUUCUCCCAACCUGAAUCUGCACAUUUGUAAUGCAAAAUGUUUUACUUCACAUUAAAGUGAGAGUGUUUAUUUAUGCAGUUUCAUUUCCAAUAAAAGCUACGCUUUACAGUGCA
rnacentral:lncRNA from 1 species